rnacentral:rRNA from 1 species
AUGUUCGAGGACGAGCUCGCCAGCCAAGCCGUCGGAGUGAAGCCGAAGCGCAAGAGCAGGCGGACGAAGGCAUACACCGCGGCUGAGGACAAGCUCCUUUGUGAGUGUUGGAGGGACAUUGGGCAAGACCCCAUGGUCGGUGCCGAAUAAAAGGCAUCAACCUUUUGGACUCGUGUCAAUCGUGAGUCCCACGAACGGAAGAAGUUUCCACCGUACCAAAUCCAAAGCAUGCGCAGGUGGGUGUCCAUUUCUAAGCGAUGGAAGGUGAUCCUGUUGGGGAACGUUGCAGAAAAUUAA